rnacentral:lncRNA from 1 species
CUGGGCACCUACAGCAGAAGGGAGUGCAACACGAUGGUCUAUGAGUCCUGUUGAAGAUGUGAACAGAACUGACCGGUGCGAAAGCAGAGGAAACUGAACAUAGGUGUCCUGUGUCCUCAGGGUUUGCGAAAGUUUGGUACCUUUCUUAGGUAUUUGCAAGACUUCUGCCUUUUCUGCUGAUCCUUACCAGAGUCUGAGAAGAUCUUUCUGUGGUCAGACUUCUUUUGAAGAAACAUGGGAAAGGGGAUGGAAAGGAUUAUUUCAGCAACUCCUGAAAUGCAAAACCUUCCAUGGCAAGAGAGAAAAGGCAAUCUUGUGACUACAGCUCUGACCUAACGAACACGUUCUCUCCAAGUAUGAUUUCAUUCAGGUUGUGUGAGCAAAAGCUGCAUUGCAAAAACAGAACAAUUGGCCUUGGGCAGACAGGAAUCCCAAGUGUUACGAGACAUCAAUGGAGGAACAGACGUUAUGAUACAGUAAGGACGAGAGCACUUGAUCAGAGGCUGCGCUGUGGUACUUCCUUCUAUAAUCAGAGUAUCAUGCAGUUCUCUAUGGUUUCUGCCCAUGGGAAUCCCACCAUUAUUUCUAUAAUUUGCUUGAGGGGAAAAAAAAGAGGCAAAUUGACUUAAAAAUCUUAAGAAUUACCAGGGUACAUACAAAGCCUGCGGAAGACCUUUUGCCAUUUAAACAGAAAUGCAGAUGGACAGAAGGAAAGCGUUUUAGAAACAGGGCAUGAAAUGGAUUGUUCUAAUGCAGCUUUACAUUCACACUGGUAAGACCAUAAAGGCCUGAGGAUAUCUACCUCACGUGUCCUGUGACAUAAGUGGGUAGGAUGGGAAAUGUGGCGCCCAAAAGCCUGGCCUACGCUAAUGCUUUAAAAUGUGUGCAGGCCAUCUUAGCCAGCCGCCAGAGCUGGAACCCGUUAUUGUUUGGUGUAAUGCUAGCGAGCUUUAUGAAACAUGCCUUUCACAAAAUUGAACUUCAUCUUAUGAUAGCUAUCAUCUGUGGAACACACGUGUCACUGUGAUAGGACUGCUACCAUGACCUUUUCAGAUACACUUCUUCUCAACCGGGCUAAUGAGAGUAGCCAUUACACGUGUUCAGCAGUGUCCUUGACUUGACGCAAUGCCCAUCCCUCAUAUGUUUGCAAUCUCCCUUGCAUGUGAAUAUAUCCAAAAGAAUUUUUUAAAUUUUUUUUUCUUUUAAACUGUCCAUUUAUGUUUCUUAUGGAAAGGCAGAAGAAAUGAUUCUUUUGCCCUGUGUAUGUACAUUUUUCUCAAUAAACAAAUAUCUGUGUUUCUAUUAUCUUUUCUC